rnacentral:rRNA from 1 species
CAGCAGCCGCGGUAAUACGAAGGGUGCAAGCGUUACUCGGAAUUACUGGGCGUAAAGCGUGCGUAGGUGGUGGUUUAAGUCCGUUGUGAAAGCCCUGGGCUCAACCUGGGAAUUGCAGUGGAUACUGGGUCACUAGAGUGUGGUAGAGGAUAGUGGAAUUUCCGGUGUAGCAGUGAAAUGCGUAGAGAUCGGAAGGAACAUCUGUGGCGAAGGCGACUAUCUGGGCCAAUGCUGACGCUCAUGCACGAAAGCGUGGGGAGCAAACAGGAUUAGAUACCCCUGUAGUCCCUGUCUCUUAUAC